GACGUAGGGCGCGAGCGUUGUCCGGAUUUAUUGGGCGUAAAGCGUGCGCAGGCGGUUCGUUGUGUCCGUCGUGAAAGCCCCGGGCUUAACCUGGGAACUGCGAUGGAAACUAGCGAGCUGGAGUGUGGCAGAGGGGGGUGGAAUUCCGCGUGUAGCAGUGAAAUGCGUAGAGAUGCGGAGGAACACCGAUGGCGAAGGCAGCCCCCUGGGCUAACACUGACGCUCAGGCACGAAAGCGUGGGGAGCAAACAGG
rnacentral:rRNA from 1 species